rnacentral:rRNA from 1 species
GACGAACGCUGGCGGCGUGCUUAACACAUGCAAGUCGAACGGAAAGGCUCCAGCUUGCUGGAGUGCUCGAGUGGCGAACGGGUGAGUAACACGUGGGCAAUCUGCCCUGCACUCUGAGAUAAGCCUGGGAAACUGGGUCUAAUACCGGAUAGGACCUUUCUCCUCAUGGGGUUUGGUGGAAAGUUUUUCGGUGCAGGAUGAGCCCGCGGCCUAUCAGCUUGUUGGUGGGGUAAUGGCCUACCAAGGCGACGACGGGUAGCCGGCCUGAGAGGGUGAUCGGCCACAUUGGGACUGAGAUACGGCCCAGACUCCUACGGGAGGCAGCAGUGGGGAAUAUUGCACAAUGGGCGAAAGCCUGAUGCAGCGACGCCGCGUGAGGGAUGACGGCCUUCGGGUUGUAAACCUCUUUCAGUAGGGACGAAGCGCAAGUGACGGUACCUGCAGAAGAAGCACCGGCUAACUACGUG